CACGGAGUUAGCCGGGGCUUAUUCUCCCGGUACUGUCAUUAUCAUCCCGGGUAAAAGAGCUUUACAACCCUAAGGCCUUCAUCACUCACGCGGCAUGGCUGGAUCAGGCUUGCGCCCAUUGUCCAAUAUUCCCCA
rnacentral:rRNA from 1 species